GGCGAGUGCGAACGGGUGAGUAUACAUCGGAACAUGUCCUGUAGUGGGGGAUAGCCCGGCGAAAGCCGGAUUAAUACCGCAUACGAUCUAGGGAUGAAAGCGGGGGACCUUCGGGCCUCGCGCUAUAGGGUUGGCCGAUGGCUGAUAGCUAGUUGGUGGGGUAAAGGCCUACCAGGCCGACGAUCAGUAGCUGGUCUGAGAGGACGACCAGCCACACUGGGACUGAGACACGGCCCAGACUCUACGGGAGGCAGCAGUGGGGAAUUUUGGACAAUGGGCGAAAGCCUGAUCCAGCAAUGCCGCGUGUGUGAAGAAGGCCUUCGGGUUGUAAAGCACUUUUGUCCGGAAAGAAAUCCUUGGCUCUAAUACAGUCGGGGGAUGACGGUACCGGAAGAAUAAGCACCGGCUAACUACGUGCCAGCAGCCGCGGUAAUACGUAGGGUGCAAGCGUUAAUCGGAAUUACUGGGCGUAAAGCGUGCGCAGGCGGUUUGCUAAGACCGAUGUGAAAUCCCCGGGCUCAACCUGGGAACUGCAUUGGUGACUGGCAGGCUAGAGUAUGGCAGAGGGGGGUAGAAUUCCACGUGUAGCAGUGAAAUGCGUAGAGAUGUGGAGGAAUACCGAUGGCGAAGGCAGCCCCCUGGGCCAAUACUGACGCUCAUGCACGAAAGCGUGGGGAGCAAACAGGAUUAGAUACCCUGGUAGUCCACGCCCUAAACGAUGUCAACUAGUUGUUGGGGAUUCAUUUCCUUAGUAACGUAGCUAACGCGUGAAGUUGACCGCCUGGGGAGUACGGUCGCAAGAUUAAAACUCAAAGGAAUUGACGGGGACCCGCACAAGCGGUGGAUGAUGUGGAUUAAUUCGAUGCAACGCGAAAAACCUUACCUACCCUUGACAUGGUCGGAAUCCUGAAGAGAUUCGGGAGUGCUCGAAAGAGAACCGGCGCACAGGU
rnacentral:rRNA from 1 species